rnacentral:rRNA from 1 species
GUGGGGAAUAUUGGACAAUGGGCGAAAGCCUGAUCCAGCCAUGCCGCGUGUGUGAAGAAGGUCUUCGGAUUGUAAAGCACUUUAAGUUGGGAGGAAGGGCAGUAAGUUAAUACCUUGCUGUUUUGACGUUACCGACAGAAUAAGCACCGGCUAACUUCGUGCCAGCAGCCGCGGUAAUACGAAGGGUGCAAGCGUUAAUCGGAAUUACUGGGCGUAAAGCGCGCGUAGGUGGUUCAGCAAGUUGGAGGUGAAAUCCCCGGGCUCAACCUGGGAACUGCCUCAAAAACUACUGGGCUAGAGUACGGUAGAGGGUAGUGGAAUUUCCUGUGUAGCGGUGAAAUGCGUAGAUAUAGGAAGGAACACCAGUGGCGAAGGCGACUACCUGGACUGAUACUGACACUGAGGUGCGAAAGCGUGGGGAGCAAACAGGAUUAGAAACCCGAGUAGUCC